UCCAGGGUGGCGCGCGUUCCUAUCUUCUGAUGUCAUCACUUGAGUCAACAACAGGACUAACUUUCACAUGGGUCGACAGUUAACGUUUAAUGGAAUUACUGAAUGGAGAUCAAUGCUGUUUUCUUGUUAGGACAACUGUUAAAUAGAAAAUGUCACUUUUUUUUACACUGGCGGGCCCAGUUAGUGCCUGCUUUUUAUUUGUAUUAUUAUCAUUUGAAUGAAUGUUCGAUAUGAACACAGCCAGAACUGAUGUUGAUAAUGGUCAGCAUCAGGAGUUUCCAGGAAAUGCCCAAUUGUGAUCUUCAAGAGCGAAAGGAACUGAGAAACGGCCAGGCCAUGGUGGAAGACACCAGCUGUUCACACCAGAACAGGAGACCGCUAUUGUGAACAUGGUGGCGGCAAACAAUGCCAUUAGACUACGAGAAAUCCAGAACCACAUAAUUGCAGACAACACAAUAUUCAAUAACAUUCACCAGGUGGGCUUGUCUACAUUAGACCGUGUAUUACAGCGCAACCGAAUCCGGAUGAAACGGAUCUACAGGGCGCCAUUUGAGGAAACUCAGUGUUAAAGAACAGCGCUAUGAAUAUUUAGAGUCUUGGAGCUGGAUGCUGCUGCAAUUCAGCACGUUUAUAUUUACAUUGAUGAGGCUGGCUUCAACCUAGCCAAAAGAAGGGGACGGAACAUUCACAAUGGCCAAUAAUGUUCCUGGACAGUGUUGAGGGAAUAUCACCAUGUGCACAGCCUUUAGCCAGCAAGGCGUCCUCCAUCACCAUGCCAACCUUGGUCCCUACAACACCCCCCUUCUCAUCACAUUCCUGGACACACUACAUGGCAUCAUCAUUUCAGCGGAGCAGAGGGGUGGACCAGAGCAGCCCAGGUAUGUUGUCAUUUGGGACAAUGUGAGUUUCCACCUGGCUGCUCUGGUCCGCAACUGGUUCAUCGACCACCCACAAUUUAUUGUUCUAUACCUCCCACCAUAUUCCCCAUUCCUAAACCCAACUGAAGAGUUUUUUUCAGGAUAGCGACAAAAGGUGCAUGACCUCCAUCCCCUCACACGCAUGACUUUUCUCCAGGCAAUGGAGGGUGCAUGUGGUGAAGUUGCUGUGGGGGCUUUCGGCGGCUGGAUCCGUCACUCCAGAAGAUUCUUUCCCCGCUGGUUAGCCAGGGAGAACAUCGCUUGUGAUGUAGAUGAGGUGCUGUGGCCAGACCAAAAUAGGAGGCAGGAUGCAGCCUACUUGCAAAACUAUAUAAUUGCAGAACAUGUUUUCAAAUGCUAACACACUGUUUCCAAACUGUUAAAAAAACAUUCAAAACAGAAUGAUGGCAAAUGUCGUGCAUUUCUGCAGUAACCAGAUUGAAACAUAUAGAACAUCUUGGCAGAAUAUAGAAUUAUUCCAAACACAGCUGAUUGCAAUUUCAGCUGAAAGCCUACCCAAGUGUCCUGUUUUUAGUCUCGUUACCAAACAGACAAAAGAGGACGACUUUGGAAUGAUUUAAUUUGGAAAGAUGGAUCAAGGAAGACAGGUUGGUGGGGAUAGAAGAGUGACAGGGAGAGGGAGAAUGCAUGGAUGACAAAGGAGAGGAAGACCAAGCGGUGGUCUCUGAUGAGAUAAGGUCCACAAUUAUUGACCAUGUUGUAAACCAUGGUCUCUUUGAGAGAGGCCAGUUUAAGGAUGCAACCAAACCUGCAGCGUUCAACAGUUGCAUCAAUAGUACGAAUUUUCCGGCAAAACAACAGUAGGAUCCAAAGGUUGCCUCCCACAGGAGGGAGAAGCAAAAUAUUAUCAGAUACGCAGGAAAUUGGCAUUGUUGACAUGGUAAUUGGCAUCAAUGCAAUAAAAUUCGGGACAGAGUGCUGGCAGACAAUAUCACUUUUGGGAAUGUGAAUACGGUCAGCACAACGACAAUUGCCAGAGUCCUAGAGAAACAUAAUAAGGAUGAAGCAGUUGUACCCUGAGAGAAAUGGUGAACGUGUGUAAGAACUCCGGUAUCAAUAUGUCCAGGUAAGAUGUCUGUUCAAUAACCAAACAGGGCACA